rnacentral:piRNA from 1 species
AUGAAAGCCGCCUCCAGCUGGUC